AGCGACGUUUGGCCGCGAUGGCUGUUGUUGUCAGAGAUUGACGAGGACUUUGAUUUGCUUCCACGAAACCGGCAUUGUUGGCGGAAAGACUGGGUGGGAAGGAAAAAAUUGGGGAUCCAGAACCUGCUCUACGAAGAGCUCCUGAAGACUGACCUCGACGAAUACCGGAGGCUACUUCGUGUAAGCAGAGAGCAGUUUCUGCAACUGCUGUCACGCGUGGGGCCCCGCAUACGAAGGGAGGAUACCGUUAUGCGCCGUUCUAUAUCGGCGGAAACACGGCUGCAGGUGACACUGCGGUACCUUGCUUCAGGACAGAGUCACUAUUCCCUGAGCCGACAGUUUAGGCUCGGUCAUUCAACUGUGAAUGACAUUAUACAUGAAACAUGUAUUGCCAUUUACGAGGAACUGGGAAGCAACUUUAUAAGAACACCCCGCACGGAGGAGGAAUGGAAAUAUGUGAAAUAAAAGGCGGCGUCAUCGCACAA
rnacentral:lncRNA from 1 species